rnacentral:tRNA from 1 species
UAUCGGAAGGUGCGGCUGGAUCACCUCCUUUUGAGUAUGGCAGCAUAUCAUCGUCCUGUUAGGCGUCCUCACAAGUUACCUGCAUUCAGAGUUUUAUGUUGGCAUUGGGUUCGAGUUCAGUUCGGGGGGCCUUAGCUCAGCUGGUAGAGCACCUGCUUUGCAAGCAGGGUGUCGUCGGUUCGAUCCCGGCAGGCUCCACCAGGGUGUCUUAUGGGUCUGUAGCUCAGGUGGUUAGAGCGCACCCCUGAUAAGGGUAAGGUCGGUGGUUCGAGUCCUCCCAGACCCACCAAUGUGAGGUCGUCGAUUCUGAAUGUAGUUUGCGCAUUGUUUUAUGCUGAUCGGCGUUGUAGCUGUGAAGCGUUCUUUUAUAACUUGAUGAUGUAGUAAGCGUUUGAACUGUUUAGUAACAAUAAGUCAUUGAAGCCAGGUGUGGGCGUGAGUCCAUUAGAUUAUGAGGUGGUGAAGUUUUUUGUCACAGAUGAUUCUGAGGCGGCUUUGGGUUAUAUGGUCAAGCGAAUAAGCG